UGGCCUUGACAUUGAUAGAAUCCCGCAGAGAUGCAGGAGUGCCUUUCGGGGAACUUGAAAACAGGUGCUGCACGGCUGUCGUCAGCUCGUGUCGUGAGAUGUUGGGUUAAGUCCCGCAACGAGCGCAACCCUCGUCACUAGUUACUAACGGUUCGGCCGAGGACUCUAGUGAGACUGCCUUCGUAAGGAGGAGGAAGGUGAGGACGACGUCAAGUCAUCAUGGCCCUUACGGCCAGGGCGACACACGUGCUACAAUGGGGAGGACAGUGAGACGCAAUACCGCGAGGUGGAGCAAAUCUAUAAACCUUCUCUCAGUUCGGAUAGAUCUCUGCAACUCGAGAUCUUGAAGCUGGAAUCACUAGUAAUCGUAGAUCAGCCAUGCUACGGUGAAUACGUUCCCGGGUCU
rnacentral:rRNA from 1 species